GACGAACGCUGGCGGCGUGCCUAACACAUGCAAGUCGAACGGCAAAGGAGUAGUUUGCUUCUCUGGAUGAGUUGCGAACGGGUGAGUAACGCGUAGGUAACCUGCCCGGUAGUGUGGGAUAACUUUAGGAAACGAUAGCUAAUACCGCAUAACAGUAGAUGUCGCAUGGUAUCUGCUGGAAAGGUGCAACUGCAGCACUAGCAGAUGCAGCUGCGGUGUAUUAGCGAGUUGGUGUGGUAUCGGCACACCAAGGCGGGGAUCCAGAGCCGACCUGAGAGGGGGGUCGGCCACCCUGGGACUGAGACACGGCCCAUACGCCCUCAGGAAGGACCAAGAGGGAAACGUCGGCCAGGGGCGGAAAUCUGACCGAGCAACGCCGCGGCAGGGUAGAAGGUCGUCGGGUCGGAAAGGUCGGUUUUAAGAGAAGAACGAGCGUGAGCGUGGGAAGUAGCCAGUGUGACGGUAACUUACAAGAAAGCAACGGCUAACUACGUG
rnacentral:rRNA from 1 species